UCUCACCUCCCUUCUCUGCCAGGCGGAUCUCGUUACUGUUCCCUUCAUACGUGAACAGAGCCCUGAAAACACAACACAACCACAAUGUCAGGGUGUGGACACGGUUCCAUAUUUCAGUCAACAAGGAAGAGAAGUGAGACUCGUUUCGUUUUCUGAGAGAGAUCAAACUCACCAGUUUGUCUUGGUCUUUCCGUCCACCACCUCUUUGUAAGCAGCCAUGAGGGCAGCACCGUUCUUACUCAGGUUCACUGCCAUGUUCCUCCACGUCUCCUCACUCUCAGUCCAAACCGGCAGCAGACUAACAAUCCCACAGCUUCAGGAGGAAUGAAAAGCUCCAGGUGGAUGAUUAAGAGUUUCCAGUCUCAGAGCAGAGAGAGUCUGAAGAGUCAAACCUGUCAGGGAGGAAAAGCAGAACCUGAUCAGCCACAUUCUUCUACAGGAAUUCCUUCUCCGACAUGUUGCGGCUCCCAGAGGCUCCAUGAGGAGCAUGUGAUCCAGAGGCUCCGCCCAUCAGAGGUCAUGUGACGACAUGGACACCAGUACCUGUCGGAUAUAACCGAAAGGUCAAGGGUCAACUUCACAGUGACGUGGUAGAAUCCCAUGAAAACACUUUUCUGGCCAUUUGUCUUAUUGUAAUUCUCAUUCUCAUUCUAACAGACACACGUCCCUCGGUGUUUGUAGAUAUCAGGGCACAUCCGUGUUAGUUCCAGGCCCAUGAGCAGAACCUGAGACCUUCACAGUCGAUGUCCUGGACGACUCACUAACUGUUCUCUAACUGUUCAGUAACGUUUCCCACUCAGUGACGGAGCUUUGGAACGAUCCAUCACAGUCGUGACCUCCUCGACCCCGUCAGGCACACUGAGAUAUGAACCCUCUGCUGCAGGGGAUAAAACCUGAGCUGGAGCUGAGGCUUGAAACUGAAACAAACGUUGUUCACACACACACAUACUCACACACACACACACACACACACACACACACACACACACACACACACACACACACACACACACACACCAGCAGCUGUGUGAAUCAGCAGGAGGGGGAGUACACAGACGGCUCAGUCUCUGGCUCAGCUCCAGACACUAAAGAUUCUCCCCCCUGAAGCGAUGCAGGACCUGGGGCGACGAGGGGAAGAGGCUGCAUACCUCCGCUCAGACGUAACCCCCAGAACCUGCCUCCCACUGCCGGACCAGUCCCCGACCUGCUCCCCCACCAGUCAGGAGAACACUAGUUGUGUAUACAUUCAUGUGAGUGUGUUACGGCUGGAGAGACCCUGCACGGGGAGGAAAUCCCUCUUUUGUUUCCGAGGAAGCCGAGUGUGUGUUUUGUGUGUUUAAUGGAGGAAACUGAAACAUGGUGGAAGCAGGAGGAUGGAUGUGUCUCGCCUCCGCUUGACAGCCACUGGGAACCAGACACUUCAGUCAAUACAUUUAAAGAGAAACUGGUUCAGACCACGUGUCAGUGGUGUGUCAGUGAUGUGUCCACUGUGCUAGGUGACGCCCCCUGGUGGUUUGUGGGCUGCUGCUCUAAAGCCUCAGUUUGACACAGUGUUCAGAGCCAUCUUGUUUUUUAAAACCAGGAGUAACCAUAUUUGGAGGACAAGGGGGUGGAGCCUGAGUGAGAGCUCGAGGAGCCUGCACGCACACCUUCACCAAUUGGACAAUAAUAGCUGUCAAUCACACUGUGGUAUGAACCCCCCCAAUACAACUGGUGCUUUGGGGUCUCUAUUAAUGAGAAGAAUUUCUCACAGACUUCUAUAGAAACUACCAGUGGAGUCGCCCCCUGCUGGUCACUACACAGAACACAGUGUCAGACACACUGGCUUCACUUUAUGGACCAGGCGUCUGUUUUCAUGAACAAAUAAACAAUAUGAACAAUA